rnacentral:misc_RNA from 1 species
GCAAACUUGGUCAUUUAGAGGAAGUAAAAGUCGUAACAAGGUCUCCGUAGUGGAGUAUGACCCCUCCGUCGCGAUCCUUGGAAGCCUUUGCACCCCCGAAAGGGGCCCUCGCGACUCUAAACUGAGAGGGACGCAAGUGCCUGGUGGGUAGCCGCCGUUGGCACAACACAGCCGAAAUGCGGGGACAUCCUAAAGCCUAGGGGUACCAACUCACCGUAGAGAUGCAGUGGGGGCCCGUGUUAGCAGCACGGUGAACCUGCGGAGGGAUCAUUACAGAGUGUUCGUGCCCCCGGGCCAACCUCCCACCCUAUGCUAUCCCUGCGCCUGUUGCUUUGGCGGGUCGCGCCUGCGCCCGCCGGAGGCUCCGCAGACUCUGGAUGUCGGUGUCGUCUGAGCAUCGUGUAAUCGCGAAAAACUUUCAACAACGGAUCUCUUGGUUCUGGCAUCGAUGAAGAACGCAGC